UAUCAAUAAGCGGAGGAAAAGAAACCAACAGGGAUUGCCCCAGUAACGGCGAGUGAAGCGGCAACAGCUCAAAUUUGAAAUCUGGCCCCCCCGGGGCCCGAGUUGUAAUUUGCAGAGGAUGCUUUUGGCGAGGCGCCUUCCGAGUUCCCUGGAACGGGACGCCGCAGAGGGUGAGAGCCCCGUCUGGUCGGACGCCGAGCCUCUGUAAAGCUCCUUCGACGAGUCGAGUAGUUUGGGAAUGCUGCUCUAAAUGGGAGGUAUAUGUCUUCUAAAGCUAAAUACCGGCCAGAGACCGAUAGCGCACAAGUAGAGUGAUCGAAAGAUGAAAAGCACUUUGAAAAGAGGGUUAAACAGUACGUGAAAUUGUUGAAAGGGAAGCGCUCACGACCAGACUUGGGCCCGGCGGCAUCAUCCGGCGUUCUCGCCGGUGCACUCCGCCAGGCUUCCAGGCCAGCAUCAGUUCGCGCCGGGGGACAAAGGCUCGGGGAAUGUAGCUUCCCUCGGGAGUGGUAUAACCCCCUGCGCAAUGCCCCGGGGCGGACUGAGGUUCGCGCGUCCCGCAAGGAUGCUGGCGUAAUGGUCGUCAGCGACCCGUCUUGAAACACGGACCAAGGAGUCGUCUUCGUAUGCGAGUGUUCGGGUGUGAAACCCCUACGCGUAAUGAAAGUGAACGCAGGUGAGAGCUUCGGCGCAUCAUCGACCGAUCCUGAUGUUCUCGGAUGGAUUUGAGUAGGAGCAUACGGGGCCGGACCCGAAAGAAGGUGAACUAUGCCUGUAUAGGGUGAAGCCAGAGGAAACUCUGGUGGAGGCUCGCAGCGGUUCUGACGUGCAAAUCGAUCGUCAAAUAUGGGCAUGGGGGCGAAAGACUAAUCGAACCUUCUAGUAGCUGGUUUCCGCCGAAGUUUCCCUCAGGAUAGCAGUGUUGAUCUCAGUUUUAUGAGGUAAAGCGAAUGAUUAGGGACCCGGGGGCGCUAUAUUGCCUUCAUCCAUUCUCAAACUUUAAAUAUGUAAGAAGCCCUUGUUGCUUAGCUGAACGUGGGCGUUCGAAUGUAUCAACACUAGUGGGCCAUUUUUGGUAAGCAGAACUGGCGAUGCGGGAUGAACCGAACGCGAGGUUAAGGUGCCAGAGUAGACGCUCAUCAGACACCACAAAAGGUGUUAGUACAUCUUGACAGCAGGACGGUGGCCAUGGAAGUCGGAAUCCGCUAAGGACUGUGUAACAACUCACCUGCCGAAUGUACUAGCCCUGAAAAUGGAUGGCGCUCAAGCGUCUCACCCAUACCUCGCCCUCGGGGUAGAAACGACGCCCCGAGGAGUAGGCGGACGUGGGGGUCAGUGACGAAGCCUAGGGCGCGAGCCCGGGUCGAACGGCCCCUAGUGC
rnacentral:rRNA from 1 species